GGAGGGCUCGCAUAGUGGCCGAGUGCGGCGGUCUUGAAAACCGCUGAGCAGCAAUGCUCCGAGGGUUCGAAUCCCUCGCCCUCCG
rnacentral:tRNA from 1 species